rnacentral:misc_RNA from 1 species
GUGGUGCGCAUGCCCCAGCAUGAAUCUCAUCUGUGGUAGUCACAAUGCUUACUGACAUGAUUGUAGAAAUGGCAUUACUUACAGAAUUAGCUGCAAUACAAGAAAGGGCUGUUACAGCUUUCUUGUUUCCCUGUAUAAUGAGAAUUGGAAAUGUUUGUGGGGAAGACUGCAAGGGUUGUCCUUCCAUGUUUACCAGGAAUUCUGGUAUAUAUCAUCCAUCUUACAAUUUAUUAUGAUGUGUAUUAUUUGCCAUAUAAUGUCAUUUUUAAAUAUGAUGUAUAUAUGAAAUGCCAGGUAAAAACUUGUGAUAAGAAGAAUUUCCUUUGACUUGUGAUGGAAUUGUUAUAUUUCAAAAUCAAAGCAUGGUUCUUUCUCCCUUGACAAAGCUUCAACAUAAAAACUUCAAUUGGUGAAUUGAAAAUUGAAUUCCCUCAUAGAUUGUGUGAGAUCUUGUUGCUAUAUUUGUACAUAUGGACAAUAUUUAUCUUCUAUUUAACUUAGUGCUUUCACUGUUGCAUCCCAAAGGAUGCCAUCAAAUGAUGGCUGUCAGUGGCCGCUUCUUCUACUCCUAGAAUCACUGGAUUUCUUUGCCCAAACUUUUCGACAUUUUUUCAACAAGCAAGGAAAUCAGAGUUAAUGUUCUUAUAGCAUGAACAUAAAACAUCUAAUAUCAGUGACAAAAGGUGCUUAAAUAAAUCAUUAAGAAUUAUUAAAUCUAUUGUAUAUGUAUUUGUGUGAAUGUGUGCCUGCAUGAUGUUUUAAGAAUGUGCAAAUGACACCCGAGAUAUAAUAAUGAAAGCAAAGCAAAUGUUGGUUGUUUUAUUUUUUUAUUGGUAUUGACGAUGAUGUCCAUUAUGGUACACUGCACAAACAUUUGCAACAUUGCAAUUUGUAGCUUUCAUCAUCAUCAGUUAUUUGUAUGUACCAAAUAUGGGUUUUUUUGUUUGCAGAUUUUUUUUUAAAAUCUUCUGUCUUGUCACAUGGGUGUAAACUCCCAUUUACAGAGCAGAGAUAUUGAUGAAUAAAAAAACAUCUCAAAAAC